UGGGGAAUUGUUCGCAAUGGGCGCAAGCCUGACGACGCAACGCCGCGUGGAGGACGAAGAUCUUCGGGUCGUAAACUCCUGUCGAGCGGGACGAAUGCUCCGUGAGCCAAUACCUCACGGGGGUGACGGUACCGCUAAAGGAAGCCCCGGCUAACUCCGUGCCAGCAGCCGCGGUAAUACGGGGGGGCAAGCGUUGUUCGGAAUUACUGGGUGUAAAGGGCUCGUAGGCGGCCAACUAAGUCGGAUGUGAAAUCCCCAGGCUUAACCUGGGAACUGCAUCCGAUACUGGAUGGCUUGAAUUCGGGAGAGGGAUGCAGAAUUCCAGGUGUAGCGGUGAAAUGCGUAGAUAUCUGGAGGAAUACCGGUGGCGAAGGCGGCAUCCUGGACCGACAUUGACGCUGAGGAGCGAAAAGCCAGGGGAGCAAAACGGGAUUAGAUACCCCGGUAGUCCUGGCCCUAAAGAUGAAUGCUUGGUGUGACGGGUAUCGAU
rnacentral:rRNA from 1 species